GACGAACGCUGGCGGCGUGCUUAACACAUGCAAGUCGAACGGAAAGGCCCUGCUUUUUUGGGGUGCUCGAGUGCCGAACGCGUGAGUAACACGUGAGUAACCUGCUCUUGACUUUUGGAUAACUUCAGGAAACUGGGGCUAAUAUCGGAUAGGAUCUCCUGCUGCAUUGUGGGGGUCGGAAAGUUUCGGCGGUUGGGGAUGGACGCGCGGCUUAUCAGCUUGUUGGUGGGGUAGUGGCUUACCAAGGCUUUGACGAGUAGCCGGCCGGAGAGGGUGACCGGCUACAUUGGGACAGGGAUGCGGCCAGGGCGCAUACGGGAGGCAGCGGUGGGGAAUAUGCACAAUGGGCGGAAGCCUGAUGCAGAAACGCCGCGUGCGGGAUGACGGCCUUCGGGUUGUGAACAGCAUUCGCCUGAGACGAAGCGUGAGUGACGGUAAUGGGUGAAGAAGCACCGGCUAACUACGUG
rnacentral:rRNA from 1 species